GGACGAACGCUGGCGGCGUGCCUAACACAUGCAAGUCGAACGGACUGAUUCCUCGGGAAAGAAAGUUAGUGGCGGACGGGUGAGUAACGCGUGAGCGAACCUGCCUUCAGAGGGGAAUAACGUUUGGAAACAGACGCUAAUACCGCAUAACGCAUAGGAGUCGCAUGGCUUUUAUGCCAAAGGAGCAAUCCGCUGAAAGAUGGGCUCGCGUCCGAGUUAAGAUAGUUGGUGGGGUAACGGCCUACCAAGUCGACGAUCGGUAGCCGGACUGAGAGGUUGAACGGCCACAUUGGGACUGAGACACGGCCCAGACUCCUACGGGAGGCAGCAGUGGGGGAUAUUGCACAAUGGGCGCAAGCCUGAUGCAAGCAACGCCGCGUGAGGGAUGACGGUUUUCGGAUUGUAAACCUCUGUCUUUGGUGACGAAGAAAUGACGGUAGCCGAGGAGGAAGCCACGGCUAACUACGUGCCAGCAGCAGC
rnacentral:rRNA from 1 species